AUUGAACGCUGGCGGCAUGCUUUACACAUGCAAGUCGAACGGUAACAGGCCUUCGGGUGCUGACGAGUGGCGAACGGGCGAGUAAUGCAUCGGAACGUGCCCAGCGGUGGGGGAUAACGCAGCGAAAGCUGUGCUAAUACCGCAUGUGAUCUGAGGAUGAAAGCGGGGGACCAGGCAGCAAUGUUUGGCCUCGCGCCUUUGGAGCGGCCGCUGUCCGAUUAGGUAGUUGGUUGGGUAAAGGCCUACCAAGCCGACGAUCUGUAGCUGGUCUGAGAGGACGACCAGCCACACUGGAACUGAGACGCGGCCCAGACUCCUACGGGAGGCAGCAGUGGGGAAUUUUGGACAAUGGGCGCAAGCCUGAUCCAGCAAUGCCGCGUGCGGGAAGAAGGCCUUCUGGUUGUAAACCGCUUUUGUACGGAACGAAAAGGCUCUGGCUAAUACCUGGGGCUGAUGACGGUACCGGAAGAAUAAGCACCGGCUAACUACGUG
rnacentral:rRNA from 1 species